UACCAGCACCCCGAGUGGUCGGGACGUUUAUUGGGCCUAAAACAUCCGUAGCCGGUUCUACAAGUCUUCCGUUAAAUCCACCUGCUUAACAGAUGGGCUGCGGAAGAUACUAUGGAGCUAGGAGGCGGGAGAGGCAAGCGGUACUCGAUGGGUAGGGGUAAAAUCCGUUGAUCCAUUGAAGACCACCAGUGGCGAAGGCGGCUUGCCAGAACGCGCUCGACGGUGAGGGAUGAAAGCUGGGGGAGCAAACCGG
rnacentral:rRNA from 1 species